rnacentral:rRNA from 1 species
CCAACAGGGAUUGCCUCAGUAACGGCGAGUGAAGCGGCAACAGCUCAAAUUUGAAAUCUGGCCCCAGGCCCGAGUUGUAAUUUGCAGAGGAUGCUUCCGGUGCGGCGCCGUCCAAGUCCCCUGGAACGGGGUGCCACAGAGGGUGAGAGCCCCGUCGGGUCGGCCGCCAAGCCUAUGUGAAGCUCCUUCGACGAGUCGAGUAGUUUGGGAAUGCUGCUCUAAAUGGGAGGUAGACCCCUUCUAAAGCUAAAUACCGGCCAGAGACCGAUAGCGCACAAGUAGAGUGAUCGAAAGAUGAAAAGCACUUUGAAAAGAGGGUUAAACAGUACGUGAAAUUGUUGAAAGGGAAGCGCUUGUGACCAGACUUGCGCCGGGCGUUCAGCGGGCGUUCUCGCCCGUGCACUCGCCCCGGCGCAGGCCAGCGUCGGUUCGGAUGGGUGGACAAAGGUGCUAGGAACGUGGCUCCCUCGGGAGUGUUAUAGCCUGGCGCGUCAUGCCCCCGUCCGGACCGAGGUUCGCGCUCUGCAAGGACGCUGGCGUAAUGGUCCCCAGCGGCCCGUCUUGAAACACGGACCAAGGAGUCGAGGUUUUGUGCGAGUGUCUGGGUGUCAAACCCGCACGCGUAAUGAAAGUGAACGCAGGUGGGAGCUUCGGCGCACCACCGACCGAUCCUGAAGUUUUCGGAUGGAUUUGAGUAAGAGCAUAGGGCCUCGGACCCGAAAGAUGGUGAACUAUACUUGGAUAGGGUGAAGCCAGAGGAAACUCUGGUGGAGGCUCGCAGCGGUUCUGACGUGCAAAUCGAUCGUCAAAUCUGAGUAUGGGGGCGAAAGACUAAUCGAACCAU